UAUGCCUGCCUCAUGUAUUUGGCAAUUGAUCAUAAAUGGUCCUACGCUAAUUCUCAUUUGUCAUAUGAUAUUGUUUAAUUUUGUUUAAUCUUUCCAUCCAGAUUGUAAACUCCUUCUUGUUUCUGGCUGUGUCUAAAGGAUUAAAAGCAAAUUUUCAGGUGGAAGUCUCACUCUACCACUCUCAUAACCAAUGCAACAAAUAAUCAAGUUCUCAAGCUGCAAGGAAAACUGAGGGGAUUAUUUUUAAGGAUGUAAAGAACAUUAAACAAUGAAGAGAUAGUUUCUCAGAGGAAAAGAAACCAAGUCUCCUUGAAUCAGUUUAUCCCAAUGUCUUCUGGUUUUCUAUGUUGGCUACAGUCAAGAUAACCUAUUACUAAGGGCCUACUCCAAUAUCUAGAGAUGGCAGAUAUUCAGUUGCAGUUCAAACCAAUGAAGUCAGAAUCUCUGGAGGUGGGACAAAGGUCUUAGGUGGCACUAGAAGAGGACCACAAGCCUGCCAGAGGGAGGAGAGU
rnacentral:lncRNA from 1 species